rnacentral:rRNA from 1 species
UACGUAGUGUGCGAGCGUUGUCCGGAAUUACUGGGCGUAAAGAGCUCGUAGGUGGUUUGUCGCGUUGUCCGUGAAAACUCACAACUCAAUUGUGGGCGUGCGGGCGAUACGGGCAGACUGGAGUACUGCAGGGGAGACUGGAAUUCCUGGUGUAGCGGUGAAAUGCGCAGAUAUCAGGAGGAACACCGAUGGCGAAGGCAGGUCUCUGGGCAUUAACUGACGCUGAGGAGCGAAAGCAUGGGGAGCGAACAGG